rnacentral:tRNA from 1 species
AUUAUUUUGGCAGAUUAGUGCGCUAGAUUUAGGAUCUAAGUAUGUAUAAAGUUAUACAAAUAAUA